rnacentral:lncRNA from 1 species
GUUAAAGAUAAUGCUAAUGAGAUUAGGAUUAAAUUAUUUGAUGUUAUCUAUUAUUAUAUUCGGUUAUGAUUAAGAUAUAUUCGGUUAUUAUUUAGAUUAUGGUUUAGUUGAAAUCGAUUCAGAAUAGAAUUUUAUGUAAUUAGUUAUAAAUAGAUAUGCCGGAAUUAUUUGGUUAAUGAAGCCGGAAGUCCACAUAAUUAAUUAGCGCUCGCCGAAGGUUGCAUAUGGUGAUGAGUUAUUUUCUUCAAUAAAGUUAUUUUGUUUUGCUUCCAUGACAACGUACCAGAUUCUUUAAUUUGUCUUUUUCCUCUCUCGUUUUUUCUAUUUUAUUUUUUGUGGAGAUCUCUGUAUACCAUAACAAGUAUAUAAAAGUAUUUGUUGGUGGCCCAUCACCGUAACAGCGCAUCUCUCUAGCCGCCACCUUCAACUUGUCGAAUAUGAGCUCCAUCUCGUCCGUCACGUAUCCGCGUCUCUCUCUAGCCGCCUCCUUCAACUCUUUGAAUAUGAACUCCAUCUCGACCAUCCCGUCCUCGCUCCCCUCUGAAGCGGCCUUCUUCAACUUGUCGAAUAUGAACUCCUUCAUCUCUGGCGUCACCUCGCUGCUCGUCACGAAGAGAGUCUUGUCUAUGGCUUCAUCUUUGUUCGGCUCACGUGCCGGCUGACGAAGCGAGCCGUCUCACGCGCCGACUAGCCACCCACUUCCGCACCCCGGCCCCAUCCUUGUUCGGCUCGUCAAGGCAGUAGCGGAUGAGGCUCAUCCGCGAAACCUCCACCAACCUCUGCUGCCGCCGCCCGAACCUCGAGUUGUUGAUGCGUGCGCAGCACUCUUUGAAGAGCCACUUGUCCGCGAAAGACACGCGGGCCCAGUCCGAGCAGAGAAGCAUCACGAGCGCCGCAAAGUCGAGCACGGCCGCGCCGGCCAGCAGCGCGUAGGUGAUGGCGGCGUCGAGGCACGUGAAUCCGCGCUUGUCGGCGAAGAAUAAUGCGAGGAAGGCAGCCGCGAUGCAUGCCGAUCCGAUCAGCCGGAGCGCGUACUCAAGCCAACUGUGCACGACGGCGGCCUUCGUGUAGAUGAUGUCGUAGAUGAAGCCAAGCUCGACCUCGAUCAACUCAAAGGCUUCUUCGGCUGUGCCUAGCUGGAAGAAGAACUCUAUAUAUGCUCGCCUUGCACUCGUUGAAGUUGAGUACGAGGUCGGCGAAGAGGCACUGGAACGUCUGGCAGAGUCGGAAGGCGUUGGAUUCCACAGGAUCGCCUCUUUUGAGCUUUUGGCCGAUCUUGGGUUCGGCGGAAGUGGUCUCCUUCGGGACGUCGAUCUCGACGGGCAAGCCGGCCCUUUUUUUUGCGCUGUACUCCUCCAUCAUCUUGGCAUAGUUGAUGCCCGUGUAGGGGUCAGGGAGCAUGGAUUUGCACAGGCCGUCGGCGCUCCCGCGGUAGAGGGAGUAGGUCCGCUCGGAGUACUUGACGACGCUGACGACGAACACGAAGACGGACGCGAGGACGAAGGGGUUGCGAUGGAGGGAGCAGAGGAAGACGGUGGCGGCAGCGAAGAGCUCGAAGAGGAGGCCGACGAGGUGGCAGCGCCAGAGCUCGUUGUCCUCGAUGGAGAAGGCGGUGAUGGUGUCAGGGCCGCCGAGGUGGAGGAGGAGGAACGGCGCCCAGAAGGCAAAGAUGACGGGGCUGUUGCCGCCGCUGUCGCCGCCGCCGCCGCUGACAUUGGGCUUGGGGGAGACGUGGGACAUCGUGACGGUGGUGGUCGAGGGGGCGAUGUUGCCCAAGGAGUUGAGAAGGAGGCCGAGGGCGAGGUCGGCGACCCAGUCAGCGAGGAGGUAGCUGGACCAGACGACGAAGCGGAUGAGGCCGGAGGAGGAGUGUUGGGAAUCCGGUACUCGCCCCGGUACCGGAUCUCGUGAAUCCGCAACCCGCUCCGAUACCGACUGCUGUGGAUUCGGUACCGAUGGUUGGGAUUCCGCAACGAAAACGUCAAAUCGGGUUUUUACCAUAAACCCGUCUCCUCAGCAAAAGCUGAUACAAUCAUAAAAGAGAGAAAUACCAAAACAGAAAAUAUGCGGGUAAAAUAAGAUUCAUUAAAUAAGAGAAGAUUACACCUGACUCCUCUUCUGCACAGAGUAGCUACAAUCCGAGCCCUCUUUCUGAAUCUCUCCUACCCUUCUCUCAUCUUCUAUAAUUCCACAAAGAAGACAAUCAUCCACGCGCACCCGUGCACUAGGUGCACUCAACACAUUGGAUAACUCUCUCUCUCUCUUUUUCUCUCUCUCGGGUACGGCACCACACAAGCUCCUGCCGUACACCCUCACAGCUUCUCCAAAUUAAUUUACCCAAUGCAUUAUUUAUAAUGCUCCAACUAGAAUGUACCCAAUUCUAGUAUAUUUAGGAUUUCUACUUUAAUUAAUAUCUAAAUCUAUUUUAAUCAAUCUCUAAUAGAUUUAAAUAUUAAUCCUAAUCUAGUUAGGUUUAUCCUCUAAUUAAUAUUUAAAUCUUAAUUUAUCUCAAACAGAUUUAAAUAUUAAUUCUUAUCCAAAUAGGAUUUAACUACAAAUCUAACCAAAUCCUAACAUUCUCCACCUUGGUUUGAUUUGUAAUUUUCAGCCGCUACGUCGAGCUCACCAUGCAAGCUCCACCAUGCAAGCUCACCGUCUUCGCUCCCGUUCUGACUGUGCUCCCGUUCAAAACGUAUAAGUUCCCACGCUUGUUGGCUUCGCAUACGACCCGAUCUCAUUUUCGGACCCUCAUAGCUCCACCUGAAGCCGAAAUAUCGCAACCCUUCGAGUCCAAUGCGCCUAACGAGAUCAAAUUCCGCUUCAAUCCAGGAACGUGCCGCACACCUGUCAGCGUCCUCACGACCCCAUCGUGCAUUCGGAUUUUCACCAUGCCGACUCCCAAUACUUUGCACGCUGUCCCGUUCCCCAUCAGCGCCUUUCCACCUUUGAUCGCCUUAUAGGUGGCAAAAGACUCCUUCUCCUGGCAUACGUGAAAAGAACACGCCGAAUCGAGCACCAAUGCAUCGUCCGAAAUUUUCGCACCUCCGGUCGCCACAUACAGCACAUCAGAAUCGAUCAUCUCCGACUCUGCUGUCUGCGCCGUCGCUGAUACCGUCUCGUCCUGGUUCACGACAGUUUGCUCCUUCUGUCGCUUUAACUCCUUCAGAUCAUCCUGAAGUUUUCGACAAUUGCGCUUGAUAUGCCCCUUCCUGUGACAGUAAAAGCAUUCUACCUCAGAUAGCGGUUUCUUCUGUCGAUAUCCGGUCGCCGAUAUUCUCGCCUCCUUCUUCGCAGUCACCACCAGUCCUACAUCCUGACUUUGCGUGCCGGACUCCUGAGUCAUCUUCCGCAUCUCGUUCGAGAGAAGCGCCGCCGUGACCGCCUCCACGCUUAUGGACUCCUUGCCAUAAAGCAACGUGGUCACCAGAUGCUCAUAUGUCGUCGGUAGCGAAGAUAGUAGGAUCAACGCCUUGUCUUCGUCAUCCAGAUUGACUCCGAUGCUGGUCAACUGGGCCACCACCUUGUUGAACUCAUUUAGAUGAUCAUGUAGGCUCGCCGCUUCUUGCAUCCGCAACGUAAACAGUCGCUGCUUCAGAUACAAUCUGUUCGUCAGGGAUUUGGUCAUGUACAGAUCUUCCAAUUUCUUCCACAAUUUCGCCGGUGUCGUCUCGCCGGCUACAUUGUAAAGAACCUCAUCUGCUAAUGAUAGAUGAAGCGUACUCAGCGCCUUCCGCUCCAUCUUCGUCCAUGCCGCAUCCGUGACCUCCGCCGGCUUUGCCUCCUUCCCGUUCAACGUCUCGUCUAACUCUUGCUGUACGAGGAUUGCUCGUACUUUAAUUUGCCAUAAUCCGAAAUUGUUCUUGCCGUCGAACUUCUCGAUUUCGAAUUUCGUGGCCAUCUCCGUCGAUCUCUCCCGCAGAUCGGUAACCUUCGGCUCUGAUACCACUUGUUGGGAAUCCGGUACUCGCCCCGGUACCGGAUCUCGUGAAUCCGCAACCCGCUCCGAUACCGACUGCUGUGGAUCCGGUAUCGAUUGUUGGGAUUCCGCAACGGAAGCGUCAAAUCGGGUUUUUACCAUAAACCCGUCUCCUCAGCAAAAGCUGAUACAAUCAUAAAAGAGAGAAAUACCAAAACAGAAAAUAUGCGGGUAAAAUAAGAUUCAUUAAAUAAGAGAAGAUUACACCUGACUCCUCUUCUGCACAGAGUAGCUACAACCCGAGCCCUCUUUCUGAAUCUCUUCUACCCUUCUCUCGUCUUCUAUAAACCCAUAAAGAAGACAAUCCUUCACAUGCACCCGUGCACUAGGUGCACUCAAAGCAUAAUUAAAUAACUCUCUCUCUCUCUUUUUCUCUCUCUGGUACGGCACCCAAGAGGCCUUUUCUCUCUCUCCCGUACUCACCUCAAAAAGCAAACCCACAAAGAGCUAUUUAUAAGGCUCCACCAAAACGUACCCCAAUCCUAAUAUAUUUAGGAUUUCUACUCCAAUUAAUAUCUAAAUCUAUCUUAAUCAAUCUCUAAUAGAUUUAAAUAUUAAUCCUAAUCUAGUUAGGUUUAUCCUCUAAUUAAUAUUUAAAUCUUAAUUUAUCUCAAACAGAUUUAAAUAUUAAUUCUUAUCCAAAUAGGAUUUAACUACAAAUCUAACCAAAUCCUAACAAGGAGGUGCGGCGGAACGGCGCGGAGAAGAUGAGGAGCACUUGGAGGGCCAGACUGGCCUGCACGGCCACCCGGAUCUCCCAGUUCGUGUCCUGUUGCGGAACUGGUGGCUCAAACCCCAUCCUUAUCUCUCUCUCUUUUUAUAUACCGUGCACUUGCACUUAACAGUGAGCCGAAUUAUGUAUACAUUGAGCAGUCGAAUAGUGUUGGUUGCUUCUUUUGCUUAAGUUGAUGACGAUAAUCUGCAGUUGAAAUUGCAAUAUCGUAAGCACAGUUUAAAAAAAAAAAGAAAAAAAAGAAAAAAAAAAAAAAAAAAAAAAAAAAAAAGCGGGUAAUGAUAAAACAGAAGCACCUAUAAAUUUGAAGAACUAAUUUAUUAUUAUGUGAGAAAUUAAUGCUAAGUUUACAAUUGAAAAAGAAUUAUAGAAUAGCAACUCUCAGUCCACAAAUUGCAAUCUUAUCCUUAGGAUUUAAUUUUCUUUUUGAAUUUUAGUAAUUUACCAAAUGUAGAGCUAGCAUAUAUUGCUCUUUGUAACAGAAUAUGGAAUCUUAAAAAUGAGUGGGCUUUAUAAAAAAAAAAAUGGUUGCGUUGACUCUUACUUAAAAAAAAUAGAGAAAUGUCACUGCACACUCAAGUAUUUUGUAUUAAAGAAAAUAAGAAUGUGAUAAAACUAUUCUAAAACUAUUGGCCUUUAGAUAAAAAAAUAUAUAUAAGAUUCAUAUCUACUUUUGAAUGUACAGAUAAUAUUACUUUAAUUAGUAUAUUACUAUAUCUUGUUCAAUUGAGUAUGGUGCUUAUAAAGGAUUUGAAAUUUUUUAUAUUUGGCCAAGUCUACAGAUGAUUUUAAAGAUUUGAAUUUUAUUUGCUAUUUAAUAACAAUUAGGUAGAAAUGCACUUAAUUAAAAAAAAAAAAAACAGGAGAAAGAGAGAGGGAGAGAUUAAGAUCUUGUCACCUAUUCCGUAACACUGGGGCUAUAGCAAUGAGCCUAAUAAUUGUCCUAUGCGGGAAGGGUUUUAAUAACUCGCAAAAGAGAACAAAAACUGAUGUUUCUAGAAAAAGAAAAAAGAAAAAGAAAAAGAAAAAGAUAGAGAAGAGACAAUCCUUAAAACGUGUUAAAGAAAAAGAAAAAGAUAGAGAAGAGACAAUCCUUAAAACAUGUUAAAGAAAAAGAGAAAAAAAAAAUGGAAAGAAAACAGAAAAGAAAAUAUUAAAGAGAUAAAGAAAAAAAAAAGAAAAGCUAUGGGAGAAGAAUAAAGAGAAAAGAAAAUACCUAAAGAGAUUAAAAACGAAAAAUGAAAAAGUAAAAAAAAAAAAAAAAAAAAAACUAAAGAACCAUAAAAUGCCUAACAAGGGUUGAGUGCAGUUCACAGUUUUUCUUUUAAAAGCAUGAUAUGAGAUCUAAUACCGUAUACAAAACUGUCAUGUUAUACUCGAGUCUAAAUAUAUAGAAAAUUAAAAAAAAUUAGAAAUAUAUAAAAAAAGAGAGAAUCACAAAAUGCCUAAUAAGGGUUGAGUACAAUUCACAGUUCUUCUUUCAAAAGUAGGCGGCUUAUCUAGUUAACUAUAUAGAUCUUUAGAAGUUGUACGCGCGCGGUGUGGGGGAGCGGUUUUUGCCGGGGGGGCUCGCCGGGCCUGAGUGGAGGAGCGAUGAUGGGUGCGCUGGGUAACAGGGGACUAGAGAGAGAAGGAGAGGCAACGGCGUCUGGGUGGCACGUGCUCGGAGACGACCCGCGUGGGGGGUGGGGUACUGACCGGGACUGCGCCGCGGUGCCGGUCGAAUGGGGCGGGGUGCCGGGGGAGAUUGAGAUGAGGGAGGACGGAAGCAUCUCGGGAGGGUGAGAGGUGGAGAGCAGUAGCAGGAUGUGAGGAGAGUUGAUGGUUGGGCGAGAGAUGCAGCCGACAGAGAGAGGGGAGAAAGACGAGGGGAAGAUGAGAUGCCUGCGGUUCUGGAUGGAGGAGGACGACCGCUACGUCGACGAGAGUGUGACUUGAGAGGGGAGAUGGAGGAUGAAAGAGACAUCGGACAGAGAGAGGAGCCUCUGCCUCAUGUCGGUGCGCGCGGGGUGGGGCCUGGCCAACAUGCGCCCCGCCCUCCUCCCCGAGCCACCGUCUCUCGUCGCAUCUCUUCCUAGCCUCCCCUCGUGCCCUGGGGCGAUGCCCCCAGUUCCCUGCUCACUCUCUUUCUCUGCGUCUCUCCAUAGCCCCCCCAUCUCUCACUCCUUUCCCCCUCUUCCUUAGCCCUCCAACUCCCUCCAACCUCUUCUCCUCUCUCCUCUCUCUCUCUCUCUCUUUCUCUCUGCGUGGCGCGGCGGGAGGUGCGCGCUCCGCAAUGGCAGCCCCCCCCCUCCACCGGCUCUCUCUCUCUCACUCUCUGGCUCCCUCUCUGUGCUUCCCGUCUCCCCCAGCCGUCUCACUCUCGCGCCUCUCUCCACGCCCAGCAGGCUCUCUCCCUCUCUCUCUCGUCUUCUCCCUUCCCGCCGAGCGUCUUGCAUCCCCCUUUAGUCCGCUCUCUGCGCCUGUCGCGCGUCUCUCUCCUCGUUCCGCCCCCCCCACCUCCCCGGUCCGGUCUCCGUGCAGCGCGAGCCGCGGGCGGGGGGCCGGUACGGCUGCGGCUCCGGCGGGGUGGCGAUGCUCGGGGGCGCUCGGCGUGCCGGCGGGCGGGCGCGCGGCGGCGCGGGCGGCGGAGGGAUCGCCGCCCGCAGGCUUAGUUGAGCGACGCCUGGCCUGUCGGCCUGCCGCGCGGGCGCCUUGCCUGUACCCCUGCCCGCUCCCCCCUCUCUCCUGGGCCUCCCGCGCGGCCCCGCGCGGCGUGGAUGGGCUGCUGCGUGUGGCGGUGGCGUGCGUCCGGGCGAAGGUCGAGUCGCAGCGGUGGUGCUCGGGGUCGGAGGCUCGGGUGCGGCCGGGCGCGCACCGGGCAAGGUGGCGCGGAGGGGUAGGGGUGGUGUGUGUGGACGAGGUGGAGAGGGCGCGAGAUGAGGGAAGAGACCGAGGCGAGAGAGGACGAGAACAGCUGCUGGGAGGAGAGAGAUCACGCGGGGGAGAUGGCGGCGAUGGCCGGUGGAUGGUCUCCCGGCCCGACCUAGGAGUGGCGGAGAAGGUGAAAGAGGUGGUGGGAGAGAGAGGGAGGGGCCAGGAGACAACGGAGAGGGCAGUGUGGGACGAGACGGAGAAGGAGAAGAGUGGAGGAGAGGACGCGAGGGAGAGGGCGACGAUACUGACUGUGGAAAGAAAUGACGUUGAAUGUUUAAAGUGUGUAACUUUGGUGCAUUGUGAGAAUUUCAGGAACGUUAGAGGUCGGUCUUCCACAGCAGUGAAGUAGUUUAUGUCAUUAAGUGUUUAUAGACUUCAAACUUUGAACGCGUUUUCUGAGACGCUAAACUCGGUAUAAUAAGUAGCAGGUCUGACGGAAUUAUACUUAGCACGUUUAUUCCAAUAUUAUUAGGAGUUCGAACAGUAUAUAAUUACACGUGAAUUAUUAAUGCAGUACGACUGUAGAAAGUAAGACGCAUUCAAUUCACAACCUCUUGGGUCUAGUCCCGGUCGUAUUUAAAUAAUUUUUAAUUUUCUGUCUCUUCACAUUUUUUGAGAGUUAUGAACCAUUUGGAUGAAUUAGAUUGUGCAGAGUUAUAAAAUAAUAAAAAAAGGUCUUGUCGUAAGGGAAGUCAGUAAAUAACAGUGAUUAUAAAGUUGUCGCCGCGAAGCCGGGCCUCUACACUAGGUGAGAUUCUGUAAUACCAUCCACAAAGCAAUCUGUCCUUUAUUCGAGUUUGAAGUGUGUGUGUUGUGUGGUGUGGUGGUGUGUGUGUGUAAAGAAGAGAGAGCCGACAUGAGAGAAGUCCUGCUAGACGCUGUACUAUCAAUUAACCAACCUAAACAUUGUGCUGCAAGUUUUUCACCUUUAAUCUUAAACUCUUUAAUGCCCACAUUUAGUGAUCAUAUUAUUCAACCAUACCCACCACUCAAUAUAGGAGAAUACCUUUCAUUUAAUCAGCAUAACCUUCAUCUAAGUAAUGAGAAACCCUAAUAGCCAUCAAUACUUUGGUUGCUUCUAAUUAAUAGUAUUUCUGCCGUUGGGGUAUUUAUAUUAUAACUGUGAUAUAGUAUACGACUUAUAUGUGUAUAUCAUCGUAUAUAGAGAGAGAGAGAGAUCGACGCGUUGAGAGAGAGAGAGAGGAGAGAGAGUGAGCUGGAAGCCUAUCGGUAGCAAACGGGCUCCGUUGCCACCAAUUGUUUGCGAGGAUGGAGGCCACUCUAAAAUCGGAGAGUCGCUGCACGUUGAAAUGGAUCUCAUACAGUUGAAGCAUCUAGGAAGCAAGAGUUUAGUUUGUGUCGCGGAGAGGCGGGUACGAUGUUCGCGUUGGGUCACUGCAAGGCGGCGGUGGACCAAAAGAUGAAUACCAAGACCCGCCGGGCGGGGACUGAAGGGCGGUUGUGAAAAGAUUGGGAGUAAGAACGUUCGCUAGUGAGUACGCAAGAGUAUCGGAGGCCGGAUUACUAGAUGUGUUUAAUGAGACUUUACGAAACGAAGGUUCUGUGAAGCCAACGAUUCGACGAUAGAUUUGGAGAGGUACUCGAUGGCGGAGGAGGCGUCGAGGUGCACUACGUUCAACGAUGCAAAAACGGCGGGCGCUCGAGCGGCCGGGGCGCGCUACUGGCGAUACGCGCUACGGCGACCAUCUCAGCGACAUCACUACAAUUUUAGAGCACUGUGUCGAUUCGAUGUAGGCGAAAGACUAGUUGGAGCAAGAAUAACUUAAACGUUGUUUCUAUAUUAAAAAAAAAGAGAAGAAAAGCUAUCCUACAGAAUAACGAAGAGAAUAGCAAAAUACCUAAAAAAGAUUAAAAAUGCAAAGUAAAAAAAAAAAAAAAAAAAACCAUGAAAUGUCUAAUAGGUGUUGAGUGAAGUUCACAGUUUUUCUUUUAAAAGCAUGAUAUGAGAUCUAAUACCGUACACAAAAUUGUUAUGUUUUAUUUGAGUCUGAAUAUAUAUAUAAAAUUAAAAAAAGUAGAAAUAUAAAAAAAGAGAGAAUCACAAAACACCUAAUAAGGGUUAAGUGCAAUUAACAGUUCUCCUUUCAAAAGUAGGGUAUGUGAUCUAAUGCCAUACACAAAAUUGUCCAAUUUGAGUAUGAAUAUAUAUAUAUAGUCAUACAUUAAAAUUAAUGGAUUGCUAGAUUUUUUAUCAUUUUUUCUUUACUAUCUCGCUUACUACUUUUCAUCUCUUUCAAUUUCUUCUCAAUUUUUUUUCUCUCUCUAUAUUUUUCAUCACAAUCACCUUCCCCCCAACCCAUUUCCCACCAUCAACACUCCACCCCACUAACCCCAUAUGCCACUGCUGCCGCCACGCCACCUCCCCUACCCCCACUACCACUGUAACUACCGUCUCAAGCGAGGGGGAAAGAGAGGGGAGUUUGGGCUUAGGGUGGAGAGGAUGAUGGUGGAGGAGCAGCGGCGACGAUGGCGAAAGACUUUUGUUACGACAUAUUUAGUAUUUUAUGUUAUAUUAGGAUAUUGUAUAUAUAUUACGACAUAUUUAGAAUAGGAUUAUAUGUUAUCAUAUAGGAUUAUAUGGUAAGUAAUCCUAGUUAUAUUGUUACUAUAGUAGGCUUAUCUCUUGUGCUAUAUAAUUUUAUCAAUAUAACCUAAGAGGAUAUACUCUGAUACCAUGAAAGAAGAGUAAAAGAGUAUGCUCUUUUACCCUUCUUUCAAUUGUGAGGGAGGAAAAUAAUGAUGGAGGGGGUGGUGGAUAAGGAUGGUGGGAAAUGAACGGUGGAGAGGGAUAGAGGGGGUGUGGGAUAAAAGAGAGGGAGAAGAGAAAUUGAAAGGGAGAUACAAGGAAGUAAGAGUAAAAUGAGAAAAAUGAGAGAUUAAUCCUAACUACAUCAAAAUUGGUUAAUGGUUAGAAACCUAGGAGCACAAAGACUAUUGUGCUCCUAAUUGCAAAGUUGCCCUUCUCUUUCUCUCUCUCUCUCUCUCUCUCUCUCUCUCUCUCUCUCUCUCUCUAUAUAUAUAUAUAUAUAUAGGAAAAACUUCAAAUACCACCAAUGUGGUUUCGCACUUUUUCACUUUAAUACCCUGUGGUUUAAAGUGUAUCAAUUUAGUAACCUGUGGUUGCGCACUGUCUCACUUUAGUACCCUAUGAUUUAAAGUGCAUCAAUUUAGUACCCUGUAGUUUCAUUUUUCUCUUUUCGUCGGCUCCUCUGUUAAUAUUUUAUUAAAUUAUAUACAAAAAAUUUCAGAUACUCUACCUAGGUUUAUUGAAUAUUUACUUUAGUACCCUUUAGUUUUAACUUUGUCAUCGAUUUUUUUUCCUCCGUUAAUAUUUGGUUAAAUUAUAUACAAAAAACUUCAGAUACCCUAUAUAGGUUUAUCAAAUAUUUACUUUAGCACCCUUUAAUUUUAACUUUGUCACUAACUUAACGAAAAAAAAUUAGUAAAAUAGAUAAUAAAAAAAAGGAAAUAAAACCACAGGGUACUAACUUGAUACACUUUAAACCACAGAGUACUAAAGUGAGAAAGUGUGAAACCACAUGGGCUAACUUGAUACACUUUAAACCAAAGGGUACUAAAGUGAGAAAGUGUGAAACCGCAAAGGGGGUAUUUGAAGUUUACCCUUCUAUAUAUAUAGAGAGAGAGAGAGAUAGAGAGAGAGAGAGAGAGAGAGAGAGAGAGAGUCCAGCUAUGGUGUUUUUAGAAGCAGAAAACACUUGGUGCUUGUAAGUUUUUAGUCGUUAGAUCUACUUCUUUGACUAUUUUCACCAAUUAGAUCAUAAUAUUCAACCAAUUACCCACAAAACUCGAAAGGACCACUAUUGUGACGCCCCAGCUUCCCAGGGGGUCACACAUCCUAGGAGUACUCCUGUUCUAGCACGCUUAACUCUCUUAACCUCUUAAGCCUAGCCACCACCCAAAAUGCUUAAGCCAGGUUAAGAGUUCAGUUCUAUUAUAUUUUAUAAAUAGGACUAUCUGGGGUGUCACAAUCUCCCCAUUUAAGCCCUAACGUCCCUGUUAGACUCAGACUUACAAGUAUCAGGCGAUGUCAGACUCGUCUCGCUAGUCUAAACCGACUUUGUUGUGGAGCCGCGCUAUACCCACAACAGUCAACAACAUGAGAGCCUCGCUCUUCCCGCUGUACAAUCCUGACUCAGCCGAGACUCAUCUCACACUUCCUACUGGUAAUUGACUUUGAUAUUAUCUGUGACGCCCCAGCUUCCCAAGGGAUCACCCAUCUUAGGACUACUCCCUUCCUAACGCGCUUAACUCUCUUAACCUCUUGGGCCUAGCCACCACCCAAAAUGUUUAAGCCAAGUUAAGAGUUUAACCCUAUUAUAUCUUAUAUAUAGGACUACCUAGGGUCUCACAACUAUCAUCCUAACCAAACAUCCCUUAAUUUAAGGGUCGAAUAUCUACAAGCAUCAAUGACUUAAUACUUUUAAAAGCAUAGGAGCUCAAUUAUAUAUAUAUAUAUAUAUAGAGAGAGAGAGAGAGAGAGAGAAAGCGUCCGACUGCUAAACUAUCGAUAGCACGUGGCUUCCUUGCUAUCAAGUUGUUUUAGAUGAUGCGGCUUCCAAAUCGACGAUCAGCUCUGUUAAACUUGAUCUACACUAUUGAAAGUAUUUGGAACCAAAUUUCAUAAUUUUCGACAUCAUUUACCUGUCAAAUGAGUAGUCUAAAAUUAAAUGACUGAAAAUAAAAAUCUCAUAAAAAAAAUAACGAUAAAAGACUAGAAUUUAUCAGUAAAGGUAUUGAUCUUGCUCUAAAUAAUGACAAAACUUUUCUCUAAAAAUUUCAUCAGAUUUGAAUUAUUUUACACUGUUAAAUUCAUAAACGCAUCACAUCGACUAUUAAAAUUAUCAAUUUUGAGAACUUUUGAUCGCUAGCCAAAAAAUGUCAAAAACUUAUAAAAUUUAGUUUUCAAAUGCUUUUAAUAGUGUAGAUCAAGUAUAACGGAACUGAUCACUGAUUUGGAAGUCGCAUUAUUAAAAACAACUUGAUAGCAUAGAAGCUUUUGUGCUACCGAUAGUAUAGCAGUCUCUCUCUCUUUCUCUCUCUCUCUCUCUCUCUCUCUCUCUAUAUAUAUAUAUAUAUAUAUAUAUAUAUAUAUAUAUAUAUAUAUAUAUAUAUAUAGAAUUAUGCUAUUAUACUAUCAAUAGUACCAAGUCCUUGGUACUAUUGAGUUUUUGGCCGUUGGAUGAAAGGAAUGUGCGGUUUUAGAAGAAUAGUUGGUCCGCGAUUAAAUUGAUAGUGUGUCAUCCUAGGUUGAGUGGAGUGGUGGUUAUGUAUAAGUUCUAACGGUGGAAUUGAUCAGAAGGAUAGAUCUAACGGUAGAAACUCAAUAGAUACCAGAAGACUUGUGUAACUAUCAAUAGAUAGUAGCCGGACUGUUAAUAUAUAUAUAUAUAUAUAUAUAUAUAUAAUAUUAUGUAUAUAUUAUAUUAUAUAUAUAUAUAUAUAAAAGCUGGAUAUACUAUCGGAUAGCAUCAAAGGGUUUUCGUGCUAUCAAUUUUUACCUUGGGUUGAGAAAUGUGCGGUUAAGGAUAUGUGGACCAUAAGGCGGUUGAGGGGUGGUGGUUGAAUAUUAUAUCAACGGAUAAAGUAUAAUCAAAGAGUUAAAUCUCAUAUCAGUGGAAACUCUAAUAGCAACUAAGCCUUGUGCUAUCGAUAGUAUCCCAGCCGGGUCUGCUCUCUCAGCAACCCUUGUGCUCUUAAGUUCUUAACCGCCCAUCAAAUUUGAUGGGUAAUUAGGGUGAAUGGAGAAGAGAAAUUGGAGAGAAAUUCAAGAGAAGAGAAAUUGAAAACCUAAUUUCUCUCACAAUUACUCUUCUCCUUUCACCUAACCACCCAUCAAAUUUGAUGGGCGUUAAGACUUAAGGAGAGCAAAGGAUUCUUGCUCCUAAUAGCACGUAGCCGCCUACUUCUAUAAGAUAUAUAUAUAUAUAUAUAUAUAUGACAUCCAAAUUUCUCUCAUAUCUUUUCUAAAUCUUUCCAUAUUUUUUUCAAGUUUUCAUUAUUAUUCUUGCUUUCCCUCUUCUCCUAUAGCGCUCAUCUCUUCCUCUUCUCUCUUUCUGUAAUUCAAGCUUAAUUUCUUUCCAAAUCUUUCCAAAUUAUUAUUUGUUGUUUCCUUUCUUCAUCCAAUCAUUGCUCUUAUUAUCUCUUCUCUCCCAUGGCGCUCUUAUACCCUCUCUCUCCCCUCAUAACCCAAAUCUAGUCCCUCCACCGAGCUAGCUGUCGGCCUCAUUGCCUGCAACCGCCCUUCUACGAUGCUGAUACAUGCUACUUUCUAUCCCUCAAGUCCCGCCCCAUCACGAGCUCCUACAAAUAUAUGAGGUAGAAUACUUUUAGAAGUAUUUGGACCUUUUUACUUCUAGGUCCUCCUAAGAACGAUUUAGUGUUGAUUGGUGGAAUAGUAUUGAUCUAAAGACUAGUAGUAAUCAAAGGAGAUUGAUCUAACGGAGCAGCGCGCGUCAUGUGCACACCGAUUCAAGUUGCGCCACUGGUAGGGAUGCAAACGGGGCAGAUUUGGGGGCGGGAGCCCCGGCCCGUCUCCCGCCCCGACUACAAAAAAUCCGCCCCGCCUCUCGCCCUGAAUUCGUGUCGGGUUGAAAAUAGUUAUCCCAUAAUCUGCCUCGCCUUAUAACCCCCCUCCCGCCGGCGCCCCAAAUCCAUCCCACCAAAUAGUAUUUGUUUUAUAAAUUAUAAUAUUAUUAACAUUUUAUAAAUAUAAAUCAACAAAAUUUUUAAUAUUAAUUGAUAAUAUUAUCAAGUUAUAUAUAAUUAACAAUAUCAACUAUAAAAAUCAAAAAUAUCAAUCACAACUCACAACAAAAUUCAAAAAUUUUAAAUACAUACAUAUGGAAAAAUUUUAAAGACAUAGAUUCGGGGCGGAUUCGGAGAGGAUAAUGGCGGGGCGGAUUCGGAGCGGAUAAAAAAUUUUCCCUUUUCCUUCCCCGAAUCCGCCACGAAUCAUAAAAAUUAUCCCGUUUCCUGCCCCGAAUUCGUUUAUUUCCUCCCGUUUACUGCUCCAUUCGGGGCGGAUUGGGGCGGGAGCUCCACCACCCUGGAUCCAUUUGCAUCCCUAGCCACUGGUCAUCUGAUGGCGGCCCAGUGGGCUAUCCGGCCUGUUUUACGCCCCUCCUCGACCCCUACUCCAACAAUUUAAAAGCGAAGCACAAAAGUACACUCAUAGUUUUUUUUUUUUUUUCUUUUCCCCUUUUUUUUUAAUCAUGGUGGAGAUAAUGAAAAUUUGAAGUGUCACACGGUAUCAUGGGCCCAUUAAAUUCCACGUUCUCUGGCAAGAAGCAAGCAAGCUUGUCCCAUCCACGCUCUGGGUGGGCCUUGCCUGCUUCAAUAUAGACUUUUGAACAUAAUUUUAAAAUAAUUUUGGCUUUUUUUUUCUUUGGGCGUAACGAGUUAUUAUUUAGUUACUAAAAAAAUAUAAAAAAUUAUUUCAAAAAAAAUUAUAAUUUUACUUUACUAAUUUUUUGUCCAUUUGGUUCCCAGGAAAUUUUAUUUUUCUGUUUUUUUUAAUUUUGUGAUAAACAACAACAAAAACAACUUAAUUUUAUUUUCUUGAAACUUCCUUACCCUUCCUUUGAUUUGUUGAGUUGAGCUGCUUUAGUCCUUUAAAUUGACAAUUUUAUUUUAUCAUAAUUUUUUUGUAAAUAAAAAGUUGAGGGGUCUAUUUCGAAUCUCCACACAUUUUAUGGAGAAAUUCUAUUUAAAAAGUUGAAAAAUAAAUAAGUUACUUUCAGUUUGUACGUAUUUUGCCUUUUUAGAUUCUUAGGCCAACUACAGGUUGUAUUUCUUCUUUUUUUUUCUUCUUUUUUUUAAAAAAAAAAAAGCUUUGCACAGUAAUCAAUCGCAGAAACAUGAUGUACCAUUCAAAGUUGGGAUAAAACUUCAGCGGAAAGGUUUCAAAUCGACACCUUAUUGGUGUCAAGCAAUACCUUAUUGGUGAGCCCUGAUCAGAUGACAGGUGCUAAUUUUACCUCCAUUCAAUAUUCAUUCGGUAUUUUUAAUACUCAAACUUAAAAAUUUUAAAUUUUAGAGAAAAAAUUAUAAACUUUGGAUUUUAGAUAAAAUUGACUGACACAUAAUCGCAUAUCAGCCCUCAAACUUUCCACUGAAGGUUUUUUCUCAAAGUCGGUGGGUGUAGAGAGAGAGAGAGAGAGAGAGAGAGAGUAGAAUUUGUAUGCUAUUAGGAGUACGGAUUCCUCCAUUCUCCUAAGCCGAAUUCGAUAAUUAAAUUUUCGAAACGAUGAUUAGGUACAGUAGAUUUGAUCUAACUUUAAAUAUCUAAAAAAUAAGUUUUGUUUGAUAUCAUUUACUUAGUGAUCGAAAGGACUAAAAAUAGAUGGCUAAAAAUAAAAAACUUAUAGAAAGUUAUGAUGCAGUACUAAAAUUUUUUAUCAGAAAUAUUGAUCUUACUGUAGGUAGUAUAAAAUAUUUUCUAUCAACAUUUUAUUUGAUUUGAAUACUUCUACUCUAUUAAGCAAGUAAAUGGCACAUUAACCAUUAAAAUUUAUUGAUUUGAACCCUUUAAAUGAAUAGGUAAAUUAUAUCAAAAAUUAUAAAAUUUAUUUUUAAGAAACUUUAAAUUCGCUAGAUCAAAUCUAAUGGAGUCUCUCUCUCUCUACCCGCACCAAUUUUGUAGAACCAAAUAGAUGUUAUGAUACCGAAGAAAAAAUUUUCUAAAAAAUUAUUUAAAAAAAAGUUAUAAGAAUUUUAUUUUACUAAUUUUUUAUCCAUUGGUUUCCGGAAAAUUUUAUUUUUCUAUUUUUAAAUUUCAUGAUAAACUAUUUUUUAUUUUUCAGAAAAAAUAGCAACAAACGACAAUUUAAUUUUAUUUUCUUGAAACUUUCUUAACCUUUGAUUUGUUGAAUUGUGGUUAUUUUACCAAACUUGAGAACUUUCAUAAUUUUUUAGUAAAUAAAACUGCACCGAUUAAUAGUUAACUAACUAAUAAAGUUACUAAAUUUAAUAAAAUUUUUGACUUAAUAUGAUAACUUCAAAGAAAAAUAAAAUAAAAUUUAUGUUUUUCUUAUUGAGAAUAGAAAUAGUUGAGGGGUCUAUUUCCAGUCUCCACACAUUUUAUGGAGAAACUCGAUCUAUUUAAAAAGUAAAAAUAAAUAAAUAAAUAAAUUACUUUCAUUUUGUAUUUUGCCUUUUUUAGAUUCCUAGGCCAACUACAAGUUGUAUUUCUGUUUUGUUUUGAUUUUUUCUUGGUUUUUUUUUUAAUUUUUUUGUAUUUUUUUUUUAAUUUUUUUGUAACUUUUUCCAUCAAUCAAUCGCAGAAACAUGAUGUACCAUUCAAAGUUGCAAUAAAACUUCAGCAGGAAGGUCUAAAACGGUGCCUUAUUGAAGAGCUAUGAUCAGAUGACACUGCUAAUUAAUUUUACCUCCAUUCAAAGGUGGUAAGGUAAUUUUAAUGCUAAAACUUUAUAAAAAAUUUAAUUUAAAAUUUUUUUUAUAAGCUUUGGAUAUAGAUAAAACUGGCACAUAAUCGCAUAUCAAAUGUCCCCAAACUUCCCAUUGAAGAUUUUUUCUCGAAGUUAGUGUGUUAGAGUAGGUCUUGUGUGCUAUUGGAAGCACCGAGACCUCCAUAUUUUUAAGCCGUUUUCGAUGAUGGGACUUCCAUAUCGACGAUUGGCUCCGUUAAACUUAAUCUAUCAUAUUUGAAGAAUUUAGAAAAUAAUUUUUAACGGUUGAUAUAUAUCGUUUACAAAUUUAACAGUGUAGAAGUAUUCAAAUCAGAUGAGAUUUUGAUAAAAAAUUUUGUACUAUUUACGGUAAAAUCAAUAUCUCCGAUAAAAAAUUUUAGUGCUAUAUCUUCACUUUUUGUGAGAUUUUUAUUUUCAGCCAUUAAAUUUGAAUAUUUUCGAUCGCUAUAUAAAUAACAUCAAAAAAUUACAAAAUUUAUUUCUUUUAAAAAAUUUGCACAUGUAAAUACAGAUCUAUCAUAUUAGGCUCAAAUAGCAAUUUCCAUGAUUAAUCAGUAAAAAAAAAUUUAUAAAUUAAAAACUAGAAUAAUACAGGAUCGAUAAGAAACAAAACAAUAUCAAUAAAGAAGCGAACAUAAUCACCUUAUGAAAAACAGAAUCACCUUAUGAAAAACUUCAAGAGCAAAUCAAAGUACACUUGACUAAACAAUUGAUUUUAAGUACUUUCCAUAUUUUGUGGAUGUAGUUUUAGAUCUAGUAUAAUUUAUAAUUGCAAAUAAUAUUUUUCAAACUUUUUUUAGUGAGAUUAAUAAAAAUAGAAAAAUCAUGCCUUCUAGAUUGUUAUAGCCCAUAGACCUACAUGAAUUAUAGCAGUUAGUUUCCUGUGGAGAAGGAGAAAACAAUGGGAAGGCCCAAGAAACACAAGAGAAUAGCCAUCCCACCUAAGAUUAGACGACCACGACCACGACCACGACCAAAAAAUUAAAAAAAAAUAAUCACCUUUCAUCUUUUAAAUUUUUAAACUAUGUUUGAUUCAGAUAUAAGUAAGAACUGUUUAUCAUACGAAAAAAUUGGACAAAUUUUGUGUUUCAAUAAAUAUUGGGUUAUUUUCGGAAGCAAGAAAAAAUAGCGUUUGGAUAGCUUGAGUGGAAUAGUUAAAAAUAAGAAUAACUAUAGUUUUAAAAUAAUAAUAUUUUAUCUAAUUAAUUGACAUGAAAUAUUAAUUAGAAAUAAUUUAAUAAAUUAAUAAAUUUAUUAUUAUCUAUGAUUAUGGUAAUAAAUUAAUAAAUAUAAAUAUUAGUUAAUUAAUUAGUUAACUAAUACAUUGACUAAUUAAUCAAUUAUGAAAAAUAAGUUAUCUUCUUAAUUAAUUAGUAAAUUAUCUUAGUUAGAUAAUUAGUUAAGAAAUUAUAUACUUAAUUAACAUUAAAUAUUAAUUAAACAAUAAUUUAACUUACUUAAUUAACUAAUUAAUCAUGAAUACUGAAAAAUAAACCUAAAUAUUAAUUAAUAAAAUAAUUAACAAUAUGUGAUGUUACUUAAUAAUUUAAUUAACCAUAAGUAAUUUGAUAAAUUAAUUAAUUAAUAGUUAGAUAAUUAGUUAAUAAAAUAAUUAUAUUGGUCAAAUAUUAGAUUAAUUAAAGAGCUAAUAAAAUAAUUAAAAUUAUAUUUAUUUAAUUAUUUAAGCAUAUUCUCAAGUUGGAACAAGUUUGUUCUCCAAAAAAGAGACUGGAACAGCAGUUCUAGAGCUUAUUUCUUCAAAACCGAUAGGAUCUCCAAUAAUGCUGAGUAUAAGUUGGGGAAUAAGAGCUUACUUCCUAUUUAUUCUCCAACCAAAACUCUCUAAAGUAUAGUUUGGUUCGAGAACAAGCUAUUUUGUUUAUUCUUAAAAUAGUUAUAACUUUUGGGAUAGACAGAAUUAGUUCAUUUUAUAUUGUGAACAAGAAUCAAGAUAUUUGAAGGAGCAAGAAAAAUUCGUUUUGAUGAUUUGGGUUGGAACUCUAAAAUAGAGUAAUGGUGAUUGAAAAAAAAAAAUUUAUAUAUAAUAAGCAUUUAAGUAUUAGAAAAUAAUAUUUUAAUAAGAAAUAAAUUAAUUAAUUAAAAUUACUAUAUGACAUGAUUUAGAAGACGUUAAUUAGUAAAUAACUAUAAAAAAAAGUCAAUAUGUUAACAUUAAUUAAUUAUUUAAUUAUUUAUAUUUUUAGUUAAUAUAUUAAUUAGAUAAAUUAAAAUAUUAUUUAUUUAAAUAAUAUAACUAUUAGUUGAUGAUUGGAUAUAUAAGCACAUCAAAUAGCUAACUAUUUAAUUACAUAAUUAAUUAUAAAUUAUAAACAAAUUAAUAUUUAAUUAGUUAUUAAUUUAAUAAGCUAAAUAAUUAAUUAGUUAUUUAAUAAUUAACUAAGAUAGAGAAUAACUUAUUCCGACCGAUAGGUGGAACUAUGUACUGUUCUCCUUACUUAACGGAUUAUUCUUAAAUAAUUCGUUCAGAGAUGAAUAAUGAUUCUUAACAAUUCUUAACACCGUUUGAAAGAAUAAAAAAAAUAAAUCACUUAUUCUUUUUUUUUAUCUUUCGAACCAAACAUUGGAUAAAACUCUACUUACACAAAAGAGUUAUAGAUAUGUGUGUGGUCGGUGGGUAAUGCGAUACGUAACUGCUACGCGAAUAAGAAUUAAGAAACCAUGCACCUCCCUGGGAUCCACCUUGCAAAUUAAAUGCGUAACCAAUAAGUUCUUUUUUUAAUAAGGAUUAAUUUUAUUCAGAUCUCUACCAAUAUAGUAAAUUAUAAAUAUAUAUUCUUAUAAUAUUUAACUUUUAUAUGUUGCUCCUAGCUAUAAAAUAUUAAUAAUUUCAAAUAUGUUUUUCUGAUUUAUUACCGUUGAAAUACUGUUUAUUUUAUAAGUAAAAUAACAUUUUUGCCAUCAUAAAUAUGUCCCUCCAAAAUAUUUAAAUUGUUAACUGAAGAGGAGUAUAAAGAUCAAUUCAUCUCAUUAACUAAUUAGAGUUAAGUAUUUUAUCGGUGGUUAACUAGUUUUUCUUAACGUAUCCUGACGGUAGGGAUAUAUAUAUUUGAAAACAUCAGAACUUUUCUAAGGACAAGAUAUGAAAGUCAAACUUUAUAGAGAUAUAUUUACAAUUCGUUAUAUUUACAAAAAUCUGUAUGAAAUUAACCCGCUUUCAUAAAAUAAAUAUAAAAAAUUAGAUAUAAAUGUACCACUUUUGUUUACAAAAAGAAAAAUUUCUGCGGGGUCAAUUUGUUUCUAGAUCCCCCGGUUUUGUGUUCCAACACAACGAGUCUUUGUUUCAUCAAAGUUCCCAAAAAAAAAAAAAAAAAAAAAAAAAAAAAAAAAAAAAACACCUUCGUUUAUUUUUCCUUAUAUUCGAUUCCGCGGCUCCACGUCGAGAUUACUAACCCGGACGCGUCUCCGCAAAACCGUCUUUCUUUUCUCGCCUGAAAUUGCCCGAAGAUUCUCGAACUGAACAACUUCAUAUUUUGUUAUUUAGCCCCUCAACUUUGUUUUUUGCUAUUAGGUUACUAACCUUUAUAAUUUUUUCCCUUGGUAUGGUUCAGAAGCAUAUAUAUAUNNNNNNNNNNNNNNNNNNNNNNNNNNNNNNNNNNNNNNNNNNNNNNNNNNNNNNNNNNNNNNNNNNNNNNNNNNNNNNNNNNNNNNNNNNNNNNNNNNNNNNNNNNNNNNNNNNNNNNNNNNNNNNNNNNNNNNNNNNNNNNNNNNNNNNNNNNNNNNNNNNNNNNNNNNNNNNNNNNNNNNNNNNNNNNNNNNNNNNNNNNNNNNNNNNNNNNNNNNNNNNNNNNNNNNNNNNNNNNNNNNNNNNNNNNNNNNNNNNNNNNNNNNNNNNNNNNNNNNNNNNNNNNNNNNNNNNNNNNNNNNNNNNNNNNNNNNNNNNNNNNNNNNNNNNNNNNNNNNNNNNNNNNNNNNNNNNNNNNNNNNNNNNNNNNNNNNNNNNNNNNNNNNNNNNNNNNNNNNNNNNNNNNNNNNNNNNNNNNNNNNNNNNNNNNNNNNNNNNNNNNNNNNNNNNNNNNNNNNNNNNNNNNNNNNNNNNNNNAUAUAUAUAUAUAUAUAUAUAUAUAUAUAUAGAGGGUCCGGCUACUAUACUAUUAUGAGUACGAUCGCCCUUGUACUCAUAAGUUAUUUUCGAUGAUAGAGCUUCCGAAUCGACGAUCCACACCGUUAAACGUUAUUUAUGGCAUUUAAAACUUCUAGAAAUCAAAUUUUAUGAAUUUUCGACAUCAUUUACCUUACGAUCAAGAGAUCACAAAUUUGACAAUUUUUAACGGCCGGUAUGAAAUACUUACUAGUUUAACGGUGUAAAAGAAUCGGAAUUUGUUGAAUUUUUGAUAGAAAAUUCUAUUCGCUACAUAGAUAAAGAUCAAUAACUCCAAUCUUGAAUUGAAGGAUCCGAUCAUUCUUUUUUAGGACGUUGUUCAAUUUGGACCGUUCAUUUUAUGCCCACUUGAUGGACUUUAUUAUGAUUUCGAAAAUUUACGAAAUUUAUUUACUAGAAGUUUCAAAUACUCUAGAUUAUAUUUAAUGGAGUGGAUCGUCGAUUCGGAAGCUCCAUCAUUAAAAACAACUUAUGAGUACGAGGGCUCCAAUACUCAUAAUAGUAUAGUAGCUAUAACCUAUAUAGUCCAGCUAUGGUGCUUGUAAAAGCACCAAGCAUUUGGUACUUGUAAAUUUUUUACCGUUAGAUCUACGUUUUUGAUCAUUUUCACCCGUUAGAUCAUACUAUUCAACCAACCACCUACUCAACUCUAGGGGGUCCACAUCAUCCUAACCACACAUCCCUUAAUCCAAGGGCCAAAAGCCUAUAAGCACCAAUAAUUUGUUAAUUUUAAAAGCAUAGGAGCUCAAUUUUAUAUAUAUAUAUAUAGUUCGGCUACUGUACUCUUAUGAGUACGAUCGCCCUCAUACUCAUAAGUUAUUUUCGAUGAUAGAGUUUUCAAAUCGACGAUCCAUACCAUUAAACAUUAUCUAGAGCAUUGAAAACUUCUAGAAAUUAAAUUUUAUAAUUUUUUGAUAUCAUUUACCCUACGAUCAAAAGCUCACAAAAUUGACAAUUUUAACGGUCGGUAUGGAAUAUUUGCUAGUUUAACGGUGUAAAAGAAUCGGAAUAGGUUGAAUUUUUUAUAGAAAAUUCUAUUCACUAUCUAAAUAAAGAUCAAUAACUCCGAUCUUAAAUUGAAAGAUCCAAUCAUCCAUUUUUACGAUGUCGUUCGAUUUUGAUCGUUCAUUUUAUACCCGUUUGAUGGAGUUUAUAAUAAUUUCGAAAAAUUAUGAAAUUUAUUUUCUAGGAGUUUCAAAUACUCUAGAUCAUGUUUAACGGUGUGGAUCGUUGAUUCGAAAAUCCUAAUAUUGAAAACAACUUAUGAGUACGAAGGGCUCUAUACUCAUACUAGUAUAGUAGCUCUACUAUAUAUAUAUAUAUAUAUAUAUAUAGGGUCCGGCUACUAUACUAUUAGGAGUACGAUCGCUCUCGUACUCAUAAAUUGUUUUCGACGAUAGAGCUUCCGAAUCGACGAUCCACACCGUUAAACGUUAUUUACAGCAUUUAAAACUUCUAGAAAUCAAAUUUUAUAAUUUUUCGACAUCAUUUAUCUUACGAUCAAGCAGUCACAAAUUUGACAAUUUUUAACGGCCGGUAUGGGAUACUUGCUAGUUUAACGGCGUAAAAGAAUCAGAAUUUGUUGAAUUUUGAUAGAAAAUUCUAUUCACUAUGUAGAUAAAGAUCAAUAACUCUGAUCUUGAAUUGAACGAUCCGAUCAUCCUUUUUUAGAACGUCAUUCGAAUUUGACCGUUCAUUUUAUGCCCACUUGAUGGACUUUAUUAUGAUUUCGAAAAUGUUACAAAAUUUUAUUUUAGAAGUUUCAAAUACUAUAGAUCAUAUUGACGGAUGGACAUCGGUUCGAUUCGGCGAUGUCCAUCAUGAAAACAACUUAUGAGUACGAGAGCUCCAAAUAAUCUAAAGUAUAAGUAACCAUGGCUUAUAUAUAUUUUAUUUAUAGAGUAGAGCGUAGAAUACUUGUAAAGUAUCACCAAGUUGAUACUGUGUGUGUUUUUAGCCUUGGAUGGAGAGAUGUGAGGUUGAGAUGAUUGUGGAUCUGGUGGUAGGUUAGUGAUGAGUUGGAAUAGUGUUGAUCAAGGUCAUUAAUAAUCAAAAAGUAGAUCCAAUGGCUAAAAACACACAAGUAUUACUGUGGUGAUACUUGUAAAAGUAUUCUAGCUCUACUAUUAUUAUAUAUAUAUUAAUUAUAUAUAUAUUAUAUAUUAUUAUAUAUAUAUUAUAUAUAUAAUAUAUAUAUAUAUAUAUAUAUAUAUGUUGGACUGGGCUACUAUUAGUAGCAAAAUCCUAUUAUUGCUACCAGUUUUUAGCUUUGGAUCAACAUUUAUUAUUUCUACCAACUUGAUUAGAAUACUAUACCCAGUGGGGACCACUCAACCUAGGGGACACUCAACUGUAACCGACUAAUAUCAUCCUGACUUACAAUUUUUCAUCAAGGAUAAAAAUUAAUUUAGCAAAAAGAGGUUUUACUAUUAAUAGUAUUCCAGACCUAUUAUUAUAUAUAUAUAAUAUUAUUAUUAUAUAUAAUAUAUAUAUUAUAUAUAUAUAUAUGAAUUAGAUUAUUAUACUAUUAAUAGUACCAUACAGUUAGGAUAAUAAUGGUCCCAAGUUAGAAUAAUAGUGAUCCUCUAUGAUUGAAUAGUAUGAUUUAACAGAUGAAAAUGAUCAACGAGAUAAAUUUAAUAACGAAAAACUCGAUAGCACCAAGCGCUUGGUACUAUCGAUAGUAUAACAGCCAAACUCAGUAUAAACAUAUAUAGUGUUAGUGAUUUAUAUGUAUAUAGUGCUAUAUAUAUAUAUAUCGGAUACUUACUAAGAGAGUGAAGAAUUGAUAUAUACUAGUAGAUCUAGACUUAAUGACUUAAACUUUUAGGUUACAUAAGUUCUGAAACAACAGUAAAAUAUGUCACAUUCUUGAACUUGUAUGGGUCCGAGUUAGAUCCUUAACUCUCUAAUUAGCGGUGGGUAUCAAGGCUAGAUGAUGGUUCAAUGAUCCUGAGCUAUAUAUCCUGAAAGUGGUGUGGUGCGAUCAAGUUAAUGGCCUUUCAAAGAUGAUAAGUUCACAGAAAGUAUUUACAGUAAACCAAUAUAACGACUAAUGCACUAAAAAAAAACAAUGAUCUGGAAAGCACGGAUAGGCCUUGAAUUCACAUAUAAAUAGUAUCAUAUCAAAUAUUAUUAAGAAAGUAAAAAAUCGAUAUUUUUAGCCGGCUCAGACGUAAUAUACUUAAGGCAACGUUUGGUUAGGGAAUAGGGAUAGAAAUAGGUCCUUAUCCCUCCUUUAUACCCAAAUGCUAAUUUUUUAUUCGAGAAUAGUAGUUCUCGGUUAUUCCCACCAACAUCUCUAUUUUCUAUAUAAAACUAUCUAAAAUUAUUCUUAUCCUCGGGAACAACCCAAUUUUCAUCCAAACACUAUUUUUCUUAUCCCCAUACUUAUAUCUAUUCCUAUAAUAGCUAGUUCUUGCUUAUACCCGAACCAAACGGUACCUUAAAAUUUUUAGUUGAGGAGUUACGGCAAUAUAUACUAGUGGGCGCAAACCCAAUAAACUUAUAGAUUUUAUUACAUAUGUCAUGCAUAUGCGUGCCAUAAUAAGAUUCAUAAAAAUAUUAUAGAAGAAUAGAAUAUUAUAGAAUAUUAAUUAAUUAGAUAAAAGUUUAAAACCAAGGGCGCAAUAUACCCAUAAAUUUAUUAUGCGCAGAGACGCAUACGGAAUUUUUUUAAUUGUGGGCCGAGCCGCAGAAUUCGUGUCCUACCCGCGAAGGAAGGAAUUAAUACAGCGGAAAAAGAAACCAACUUUUUCUUUUUCUUUUUUCUUUUUUUUUUAUUAUUACUGUCUCUGUUUUUUUAACUUGGGAAAAAAAAAAAAAGUCUUGUUAUGUUCUAUAAUAAACCACUUAUAAAACUAGUUCAAUUUUGAUUUAGUAAUCCUAAUAAUUUAUUAAUUUAGAUCAAAUAUAA